CUUCAAUGAAGAGAUGAUGACGAGUCUGACUUGGUUCAUCUUUGGCCAUGCGGCCCUACUCUGUGCUACGUUCUGUGGCACAGUUUAAAGGACCCUGGUAGAAGAAACUAAGUAAAGAUGACCUAGAGGCAUUUGUCUGAGAAGG
ensembl:snoRNA SNORD15 Small nucleolar RNA SNORD15